AUGAACGCUGUCUACAGGCUUAACACAUGCCAGUCGAGGGGAAACGACGGGGAAGCUUGCUUCCCCGGGCGUCGACCGGCGCACGGGUGAGUAACGCGUAUCCAACCUGCCUCUGACUGAGGGAUAACCCGUCGAAAGUCGGCCUAAUACCUCAUGGCAUCGUCUGCGGGCAUCCAACGACGAUUAAAGAUUUCAUCGGUCAGGGAUGGGGAUGCGUCUGAUUAGCUUGUUGGCGGGGUAACGGCCCACCAAGGCUACGAUCAGUAGGGGUUCUGAGAGGAAGGUCCCCCACAUUGGAACUGAGACACGGUCCAAACUCCUACGGGAGGCAGCAGUGAGGAAGAUUGGUCAAUGGGCGGGAGCCUGAACCAGCCAAGUAGCGUGCAGGAUGACGGCCCUAUGGGUUGUAAACUGCUUUUAUGCGGGGAUAAAGUGAGGGACGUGUCCUUCAUUGCAGGUACCGCAUGAAUAAGGACCGGCUAAUUCCGUG
rnacentral:rRNA from 1 species